AAGUCGUAACAAGGUUUCCGUAGGUGAACCUGCGGAAGGAUCAUUACUGAAGAAAUGCGUAGUUAGUUGAGCUGACUCCUUUAGGAGUAUGUGCUCGCUAUAUCGCUUUUUCUAACUCUCCACUGUGCACCCUAUUGUAGGCUAUGAUACUUGAGACGGUACCAAAACAGGCAACUGUUGCCUUAAUUGGCCGUAUUCAAGGUUUAGAAGGCUUUUAUGCAUCCAUUCAUUUUGCUUGCUUGCUUGCUUUCAACUUUGUAGCCUAUGUCUUACACAAACUCUUUGAUAGUCUUUAUGAAUGUGUGUAUCCAAUUGGUCAUUGAUCAAUACAAGUCAUAUAUACAACUUUCAGCAACGGAUCUCUUGGCUCUCGCAUCGAUGAAGAACGCAGCGAAAUGCGAUAAGUAAUGUGAAUUGCAGAAUUCAGUGAAUCAUCGAAUCUUUGAACGCACCUUGCACUCCUUGGGUAUUCCGAGGAGUAUGCCUGUUUGAGUGUCAUUAUACUCUCAAAAACCUAACUGUUUUCUGAAUGGCUAGGCUUUUUGGAUGUGAGGGACUGCUGGCUUUCUAUUGAGUCCGGCUCCCUUUAAAUGCAUUAGUGGUUGCUUCAUUCACUAGAGUGUGAUAGUAUAUCUACGCUUGUUUACAGUGAACUGAUAUCAAGUCAUCUGCUUUCCAACCUGUCUUGAAACAUAACAAGACAUUUUGACUAUUUGACCUCAAAUCAGGUAGGACUACCCGCUGAACUUAA
rnacentral:rRNA from 1 species